GACAGAGGUGCCAAGCGUUAGGCGGAAUCACUGGGCUUAAAGCGUCCGUAGGCGGCUCGGAAAGUAGGGUGGGAAAUCCCACGGCUCAACCGUGGAAUUGCGCUCUAAACUAUCGAGCUAGAGGGAGAUAGAGGUGAGCGGAACUGAUGGUGGAGCGGUGAAAUGCGUUGAUAUCAUCAGGAACACCGGAGGCGAAGGCGGCUCACUGGGUCUUUUCUGACGCUGAGGGACGAAAGCUAGGGGAGCGAACGGG
rnacentral:rRNA from 1 species